UGGGGUAUCGGCAAGUGGUAAGCCAACGGAUUUUGAUUCCGUCAUUCGUAGGUUCGAAUCCUACUACCCCAUCCA
rnacentral:tRNA from 1 species